UGUCCUUUGAUGUUUCAGAUCGCAUAAAUCUUUCGCCUUUUACUAAAGAUUUCCGUGGGGAGGAAAAACAAGAGUAUAUUUAUGAUGUUUCCCUCUUACACACAUUUUUAUGUGUG